CUUCAGUUUGACUGAUAAGACGUUUCAUAGUGUGCGUGCGUAAAAUGUUGUGAAAUAUUUUUCAAGCUGAAAAAAAGGUGAUUUCAGUGAAGUGUUACAGAAUUAAUAGUGGAAAAUCAAUUGUUCAAACUCUAAAGAGAAAGGUGAGUCACGGUGUUGUGAUCAAUGCAGCAUCCGGAGGAAGAGUCUCCGUGUGAUUUGGCGUGAGAGCUGGAGGCGCAAGAGUUUGUGAGAAGGCACAAGAAAAUGCCACUCGCCCACCGGAUCAAUGACGAUGCCCAUGUCCAACGAUGCAGCCUGAGAGGCAAAAACCGAGAAAGGUUGUGAAUUGUAUGUGGCGCUUAUUGCAAAACCAUUCUCAAUUCCAUCGCGAGUGUUGUUGUGAAGGCAGCGCAAUCGGCUGUUGGAGUCGCUCUCAAAUCCCGCCAGUUGUUUCAUGAUCGUUGAUCUGAACAGAGCGAAUUAAUUUUGUGUCUCCGGCGUUUUUUUUUUUAAUUUUGGAAAUCUCAAUAUUUCCCACUUCUGAAAAUUGUGAGCGGUAUUUUUUUUUAUUCUGACGGGAAGUGAUCUUUUUUUUGGGUGAAAAGUGCAAAGAUACCUCAUAGUGGAUUAGUUUAAGACAAAUCUUUGAGGUUUUUAUUGUAAAGUGUUGUUCAGCCACAAGAAAAAGCCAGCAAGAGCUCAAAAAAAGUAAAAUUGCUGUGUAUUCAGUGGAGCUGUUCUUACAAUAUUGUACAGUGCUGUGAAGCAAUAGACACGACUAAACGAGAGUGUGGCACUUGGUAAAUAAGGAGAUAUUUUACCAUUGAGCGCAAUUUCAUUUUUUUUCAUCAUCUUGAAGCAGUUUAUAAUGCAAGAAUAAAACCGCAGUGAGAGAAGAAUGUGCACAAGAUACAGUGGUUGGAAUUGAAAUUUAUAUGAGAUUAUUAAUGAGAUAAUCUAAAAAAAAGAAGCUAAUGAGUUUAAAACAUUUUUGGAAUAUUGAAGGGUUUCUAUGUGAUCCAAAGGACUUUUUGGGGACGAUUUGUGUGUGAGUGGCAUUAAAAUUAGACAAGUUGAAAGCAUAAAAGCAUAAGAAUGAGCUUCGUCAAUUCCAUCCUCUUCUCAUCAACGGAGAUGAGCAAUUUUCUUCCAUUCUUGGGAGUUAUUGUCUGCGUUGGAGCCAUGCUAACAUUUCUAAUCAAAGCAGCCAUAAUACUGCGUGUCCAAGGAGAUGGUGGAGAUGCAAUUCGUGCCACAGCCGUUUCAAAUGCACACAACAGCAGUCGGAUGCAAGUUCCAAGGCUCAAGAUGACACGAGUUCACAUACCUUUUACGUUCCGCCUGCUGGAGAGUGUAAAUACUUCAUAUGAAGAGGUUUGCCUUGCUGUGUCCAGCCAAGUGAGAUACACAUUGCAAGCUUUUUGGGCUGUCUCCAUCAGAGAACUCCACAUGUCACUGUGGCGACCAUGGACUGAGCUUCGUGAAGCUGCCUACAUGAGAAAUCGUGGAAUUGUUGAUGUUCAACACUAUCAGCAUCUGGCUGUAGAUAUUAGGAAUAAAUCCCCACACAGUGAAGAAAUCAUCACAUUGAAAUCACCAAAUUCACCUCUUGCUCUGGGAGCACCACCAAGACUGUCCUAUCCACUGGUCAUUUUUCUCAUUCGUGACUUUGAACAAGAUGAAAUUCUUCAUCCUGACGAAACUGUGAUCUUGGUGAAUGUAGUUCAUCUGAGAGAUCCAGUUUGUCCUCUUCCCACAUCCGUCUUAGCGCAGUAUCUCAAACAAUCAAGUGGACAAUUAUCAUGUCUGAAGCAACUCUAUCUUGCCACUGGAGAUCCACUCUCUGGCGAUGAGACAACAACACCAAUGCAGACGGGAUCUCUGUCCCUAGCUGAGCCAGUAGCCUGUGCAGGUACAGGUGGGCCUAUUCUGUGCUCAGAUGGGCCUCAGAUGGAGCAAUUGUGCGUGGUUUGUCACUACUUUCCACUCUCACGUGCACUCCUGCCCUGUCGACAUACUUGCAUCUGUGCCGUGUGUUUCUCAAAAUUGGAGCGAUGUCCAAUGUGCAGGGCACCAAUAACCAGUUACUUCUGCAUCAGAUCAGAAGAAUAUCUGCCGGCUAAUCAUAUCGAAUCAAGACCGGCCAAGAUAAAAGGCAAUGUCCACUGGUUGGAUGCUCUCAAUGAUCGUCUAACGGACUUUUUAGGUUUUAGAUAGGUUCACCAAGAAAAAAAAGAUCAUUAUGAGGAGUUGUGACAAUGGAUGGACUAUUCCCACCCGGAAAGGCGAACCAAGAUUUUGGUUCGAUGGACAGAGAGGCAAAGAUGGAGAGGUAUGUGUGUUAAAAAAAAGAGAGAAAAGUCAGAGAGAAACCUUGUCCGUCCUUCAGCAUCAGCUUCUUAAUAAAUAUGGCAAAAAAAUGUAAAUUAAUUUAGUAAUAACACAUCACGAUGAUAUAAUUUCAGACUUAGCUGUAAAGUGUAACUAUUACUUUUUAAAUUUGUAACAGUUAGAUAUGGAUAUAUUUUUUUAAAUAUGUGUAAAAGAAAUGAUGCAGGUAAAUUGAGUAAUAAUGAUUACUUCAUUUUUUUUUAAAGCAAUGUAUCUUUUGCAACAAAUUUACAAAAAAAGAGAAUUCUUUGAAUAUUCACGUGAAUGUGAAUGAAAUAAUAUAAUUAUUUUUUUCCUAUCUAAUUACUAAUUAAUUUAAAAAUGAAAAAUAAUUAGAGAAAGAUUAAGAAAACCAGAAAAUAUCUCCUCACUGAAGUAAUAAUCACGUUAGCUUGUAAUGUUUUCAGAGGCAGAGUUGGAAGCAGAUAGUCUGCUGUGUAAGAUUUUUCUGAUGAUAUCCAUUGGAAUUAUUAUCUAUAUUUGAAACUCUAAUUACAAUGAAGAGUUGAAUGAGUCACAAAGGUACAACUGCUUAAAAUAAUUGCACUUUUUUGAUUGUCCGGGAUGAAAAUAAGGAAAACACAAUUUUAAACCGAUUUUUUAUGUAACAGAAUAUUUUCUAACUUUCUGGUACAAUAGAGCACUCGCUCGACUUUGUGAAUGUCCUAAGUUCAAUUCUUCUUUAAGUCCAGAAAUAAUCUGGCGCAAAACGUGGGAAUAUCAGUACAAAUAAGGGCAGAAUCACAUUGACAGUAAAAUGCUCGCCGUAGCCUCAACGUAUUUCGUUAAUUUAUGCAUUUUCAUUGCAAUUCUUACGCAAAUUUUCCAUAACCGUAUUACCUUAUCUCAUACUCGGUGGCACUAGGUGAAAAUAAUACAAGAAAAUUGAAGAAAUAAAACGAAAAUUCGAUAAACGGUGAGCAAAAAAACUAUACGAUUAAUUUCUCUUACAGUCUUUUUUGCUCACCGUUUAUCGAAUUUUCGUCUCAUUUCUUCAAUUUUCUUAUAUUAUUUUCAGCUAGUGUCACCGAGUAUCAGAUAAGGUAAUACGGUAAUCGAGAAUUUGCAUAAGAAUUCCAAUGAAAAUGCGUAAAUUAACGAAAUACGGUGAGCAUUUUACUGUCAAUGUGACUCUGCCCUAAAGCCGACAUUUGUAGUUUUUCAACUCUUUUUUUUUAACGUGUAUCAAUCUCAAUGGCUAAUGGAUAAAGCGCUGGAUUUUUCGUGCAGAAGACCUUGGCUUGAUCCUUAAUUGAAUCACGUCCAGUUAAAAUUUCAAAAAAAAAAUACACAGUCGAAUUCGUACAACUUAAAGCAAAAUAUACCAAAAAUGCAAUAAAAGAAUGAAGCGGUACACAGUGAUUAUAAUAAUAAAUCCCUAAUUUUUUCUUAACAAUCUUUUAAAUUGAAUUAUCUUCAAAGUCAUAGAAGGAUUGAGACGUAUGCCCACCAGCGCAUAAUAACUUUUGUUUGUAAAUAUGUUUUCAAAAUUUCCUGUGAGAGUGAGCGAGAUGACUAGAUCAAGCUUUCAUUCACUCUCACUGAAAUCUCAAAAAUAUGUUUACAAAACAAAAGUUAUUGUGCGUUGAGCAUUAAAUGCUCCUUAAUAACGGCUACACGAACCUGAAUAAUAUUCCAUUUCCAAUUCAAAAUUGUAAAGAAUACACAUGCAUUCUUAUUAGAUGAGAUUCUUAAUAAUCUCAUCUACUAUAAUCCUAACAAAAUUUCAUGUCGUCCGAUUGAGCUCAAACUUGGCCAAAAUGUGUGAUCACGAAUAUAUCGCUCCUUGGAAAUUACAAGGGGCCAACUAAUUUUCGGCCAUUUUUCAGGAGACAGCAUGAAAGAUUCAACAUUGUAUAAAUAAUUAGCUCAAUUAAGUAUGUUAAUAAAAACAAUUUAAUUCUUUUCUAUUUGUAUGAACAUUAUUAUAAACAUUAUAAACAUCGAAACAUAGAUAUUUUUACCUUUCAAAAUAUGUUUUUUUUUAUGAGUUAGCUCUUUGUCAUUCUAAAUAAUGCGCAAAUUUUCAUAAAAUUAGAAUGACAUGGGAUCAACUUGCUUGAGUUAGUCCCUUUUUUCACAAAAAUUUGAACGAUCUAUUUUGUGCCCCUUGACUUCAAAAUAACCGUGCAGGCGCAAUCAUAAAGAGUAAAAUUUUGAAAAACUUUUCUAAUAACGAAAUUUAUUGACUUAUAUCAUCUGAAAUUUUAUUAAA